GACGAACGCUGGCGGCGUGCCUAACACAUGCAAGUCGAACGAGGUCCAACCGGUGGCAACACCGGGGAAUACCUAGUGGCGAACGGGUGAGUAACACGUGAGGAACCUGCCCCGAAGACCGGGAUAACCCUCCGAAAGGAGAGCUAAUACCGGAUACCCCCACCGGACCGCAUGAUCUGGUGAGGAAAUGGAUUCCGCUUCGGGAGGGCCUCGCGGCCUAUCAGCUUGUUGGUGGGGUAAUGGCCCACCAAGGCUUCGACGGGUAGCUGGUCUGAGAGGACGAUCAGCCACACUGGGACUGAGACACGGCCCAGACUCCUACGGGAGGCAGCAGUGGGGAAUCUUGCGCAAUGGGCGAAAGCCUGACGCAGCAACGCCGCGUGGGGGAUGAAGGCUCUCGGGUUGUAAACCCCUUUCAGCAGGGACGAAACUGACGGUACCUGCAGAAGAAGCCCCGGCCAACUACGUGCCAGCAGCCGCGGUAACACGUAGGGGGCAAGCGUUGUCCGGAUUUAUUGGGCGUAAAGAGCUCGUAGGCGGCUCAGUAAGUCGGGUGUGAAACCUCCAGGCUCAACCUGGAGACGCCACCCGAUACUGCUGUGGCUUGAGUCCGGUAGGGGAGCGUGGAAUUCCUGGUGUAGCGGUGAAAUGCGCAGAUAUCAGGAGGAACACCAGCGGCGAAGGCGGCGCUCUGGGCCGGAACUGACGCUGAGGAGCGAAAGCGUGGGUAGCAAACAGGAUUAGAUACCCUGGUAGUCCACGCCGUAAACGUUGGGCACUAGGUGUGGGUUCCAACCAACGGAAUCCGUGCCGUAGCUAACGCAUUAAGUGCCCCGCCUGGGGGAGUACGGCCGCAAGGCUA
rnacentral:rRNA from 1 species